CGAGGACGAACGCUGGCGGCGUAGCUUAACACAUGCAAGUCGAACGGAGCACCCUUGAUUGAGGUUUCGGCCAAAUGAUAGGAAUGCUUAGUGGCGGACUGGUGAGUAACGCGUGAGGAACCUGCCUUUCAGAGGGGGACAACAGUUGGAAACGACUGCUAAUACCGCAUGACGCAUUUUGAUCGCAUGGUCGAAAUGCCAAAGAUUUAUCGCUGAAAGAUGGCCUCGCGUCUGAUUAGCUAGUUGGCGGGGUAACGGCCCACCAAGGCGACGAUCAGUAGCCGGACUGAGAGGUUGACCGGCCACAUUGGGACUGAGAUACGGCCCAGACUCCUACGGGAGGCAGCAGUGGGGAAUAUUGGGCAAUGGGCGCAAGCCUGACCCAGCAACGCCGCGUGAAGGAAGAAGGCUUUCGGGUUGUAAACUUCUUUUAAGUGGGAAGAGUAGAAGACGGUACCACUUGAAUAAGCCACGGCUAACUACGUG
rnacentral:rRNA from 1 species